rnacentral:rRNA from 1 species
AUUGAACGCUGGCGGCAGGCCUAACACAUGCAAGUCGAGCGGAUGAAGGGAGCUUGCUCCUGGAUUCAGCGGCGGACGGGUGAGUAAUGCCUAGGAAUCUGCCUGGUAGUGGGGGAUAACGUCCGGAAACGGGCGCUAAUACCGCAUACGUCCUGAUGGAGAAAGUGGGGGAUCUUCGGACCUCACGCUACCAGAUGAGCCUAGGUCGGAUUAGCUAGUUGGUGGGGUAAAGGCCUACCAAGGCGACGAUCCGUAACUGGUCUGAGAGGAUGAUCAGUCACACUGGAACUGAGACACGGUCCAGACUCCUACGGGAGGCAGCAGUGGGGAAUAUUGGACAAUGGGCGAAAGCCUGAUCCAGCCAUGCCGCGUGUGUGAAGAAGGUCUUCGGAUUGUAAAGCACUUUAAGUUGGGAGGAAGGGAAGUAAGUUAAUACCUUGCUGUUUUGACGUUACCAACAGAAUAAGCACCGGCUAACUUCGUG